AGAUUCGUGAGAAUAUCGCAGGGCCUGUAAUGCUGAAACCAGAACUGCGGCCCCCAACUGUUAUGCAUAUUGAAUAAAGGGACAGAACAGGGAUGAGGUGCCCUCCAAUGCAUACUUUGCAAAUGUGGUGAGGAACAUGGGAUGUGGCAUCUGAAUUGCCUGAGUCCAAAUCGUGGACCCAAUGCUUCCUGGCUGUGUAAUUUGGACAAGUGACUGAACCUUCUGAGCCUCGGUUUCUCUCAUCUGUAAACUGGGGACAAUAAUGGUGGUUGUGAGAAGUACAGUAUGAUGUGCCUGGCAGAGGGAGAGAGCAGUUGUGGGUUUUGUUGUUGUUUUUAACGAGUCCCUGAUAGCCACAUAUCCCGUUAGGGAGAUGAGCCAGCUAUUGAGGGUUCUGUGAGAACUCAUAGCAACACCACCCUAAUCAGAGGAAAGGGGAAGGAGAAAGGGAAACAAGAUCCUUGGGCUGAUCAGAGGCAGAGGUGGCAAUGGCACAACACCUAUUGGGGCCCAAGGUGGGCAGGGGCCACACCACGAAGGCUGUGGUUGGGAAUCAAGUUUAGCCCAUAAAGCAGUAGGCAAUCAAAUGAUCAAAUUUAUGCUUUCCUCUAUUCAAGCCAUUCUCCCUUAUGCCUGAGAUCUCUCUCUGGAAUUCCAAACCGAUCUAGAUCUUUCCAAGCAUCACAAUGGCCAUUUCAGUGGCAGACAUUUCUGGGGUUCAAAUAUCUUGUUAUCUAUCCUUUAUUAGCUUUGUUUAUACUGUGAUUGGGGGAAAGGGGACGUGUCGGUCUUUACAUGAUUAAAAUUACUUAAAAUGACUUUUAUACAUCAGUAUGAAUGUUAUAUUGUUUUAAAUAAUCAGCAGAAAAAUCUGACUGGGGAUGUUUUAUUUUUCUGUAACUUCCAUUUGUUGUUGUUUUGAUGCACUUUCCUUCUCCUAUUAAUUCCAUAAAGGAGGCAGUAUUUCCAGGCUUCACAGAGCAGAAGAUGGAGGCUCACAGACUCACCUGAGGUUACAGAAGUAGUAAAUGGUAGCAGGCCUUUUUGCUCCAAAGCAUGUGCUCUUUCAGUAUCACUUCCUGGGGGUGAGGGUUCAGACCAUGUUAGGAUCAGGGAAUGGCCUGGGUUUCUGUGGCUUGCUGCAGACAGCUCCCAAGUGGCCCUCAAGGACUGCCUGGACAUGGAAAGGCCAGGAGCAUAUGACCCCAUGUGAAAGACCCAUCUGCACCCUUCCUGGAGCCUAAUGCAGAGACAGGGAUGUAAAACUGCUUUUUCUCUGACAUGAGCCUUUGUUCUGUACAUAAUAACCAAGAACCAGAAGUUGCUCCUAUGCUCUCAAAGCAGUGAUUUGCAAUUGCAUGACAGAGCCCCCUGGGUUCCACACCACCUCUGUGGGGAGAGGGCAGGCACUCACACUUUUAAAAUGCCCCUUAGAUGAUUUCAAUUUGCAGUCGGGGCUGAGAACCAGUGUCCUGAACUCACUCAGUUUAUUUGGGAGACUCCCAAAAUGUGUAUUUGCAGAGCCCCCUUUCGGGGAGAGUGCUGUUGGAUGCCCCUGGAAGAUUAUGGCAGCUCUCUAAGGAACAUAGCCAUAGUCCACGCCCACCACUCUUGGUCACAAGGGCAGAAGAAGGGAGGAGGGGUCUGCUGGGAGGUCAGGACUUCUUUGAGAUGAUCUGUCCAGUUGGGUGCAGCACAGCCACCAUGGGCUCACCCAGAGUGCUCAGGGGAUACAGCACUGGCUGGGCCAUGGAGAGACACUGUGUAAAAGGGAGCUGUCAGCCCCCUUGUACUUCCAGAGCCUGAAGAGUUUCAGAAUCCAGCCUGGGGGCGGUGGGGUGACAUCUCCCUUCCUGUUGGCUGCAGGGUGAGCCGAUAUCA
rnacentral:lncRNA from 1 species